GCGGGACCGAGCUGUCCGCGAGCGGCGAAGCGCGGGCCCCGGGCGCGGCGGGGAGCGCGCGAGGAGACGAGCGCCCGGCGCAGGAACCAGAGGCCGCCGGGGUUCACCGGCUGCCGCCGCGAUGAGCGGCGCCUGGGUUCGGGCUCGGCCUGCCGCCCGCCGGCUUCUCCUCCAGCCCCGGAGCACGAGCCCGACCGCCCCGGAUCGCGCCGCUCUGAGACUUCGGGUCCUGCUGCUGCUGAGCUCGGCUGCGGGCUCGAACUCGCCCGGGUGAUGGCAGAAGGCGUGGAGCUGUGCAGUGCUCCAGCCCACCGUCUCUGGAUCGUUGGCGCCAGUUACUGUUCUGUGCUCGGAGACCCUGUGACCUCCUUGCGGUGGAACAGAAACUAAAAGCUCAGUACAAACUGCUUCUCCAGUGGCGCUUUCUGGGCGUGCGUCUUGGUGGCUGGCAAGGUGGAGGAGUGAAGGGCGGCGAGGCAAGAUCGGAGUAACUCUCCCCGGGAGAGAUGCGGAACGGAAUGGGUAGACCCUCGCUUCAAGUGAUGCCAGAACCUGUGCCGCGUUGCUGAGAUUUCCAACUGCGUGUUGAGGACUAAAGCUGUAAGACUCAGAAAGACUGGUGUGGGUAGUUAGGCUGUGGAUUCCUGUGUUGAGAGUAAAGGACGCAUAGAAGAACGGGAGAGUCAAAUAAGGCAGGAUUAGACAAAAGGGAGGCGAAUGGAUUGAAAAUCAAAUACAGUGGCAGCGCAAGCAUUCUGGAAAGAAGAAAAUCCCUUCUCCAGAUUAGAACAAUUUCAACUCAUAAGUAUUGUGUCAGGGAAAUGUUAGAUUUGGGGUGCCAGUCGGGUCAUACGUAAACACACAGGAAACAGCCUCUAGUUUUGAUUGUGGUCCUAACUCUCUCUGUUACCCUGGGCAGGGCAGGUAAACUUCAUAUGGCUGUUUCUUGUCUGUGAAAGGACGGACCUGUUAAUGCUUUUCAGUUCCAUCGCUCCAUGGUUCUGCUUCCCCAGUGCCCUCUGAACUUCUAACUCAUAAGAACUGUCUGGGGCGAGUCAUUAACUGAACUCAUAUCUGUGAAGACAUCAGCAAAGCGAGCAACUUCUCAUUGCUAUGGAGGCUCUGUGCGCCACACCAUGAUCUCUUAAUCCCUUCACUUUCCCCCACGGAGGUACCAUGAUACUUUGGAGUUGGGGACCCAGAGACCACAGAUGAAAUUACUGAUCAACAUCAAGUCAGGAGACCCAGAUGGUCUACAUUCAGUUGAUUUGAUCCUUCUUCUCUGUCUUGCUGCAGAGAAAGAGACUUGGCGUGUCAGAAACCUACACACCGUGAUGUUUUCUGCUUUUUAUUAUAUUAGACAAGACUCUGGUUGCAAAUGGAAGAAGACCCACCCAAACCAGGUUAAGAAAAAAGAGAAUUUAUUACUGCAUAUAACUGCAGAGCCAUGGAUAAAAAUAUCUGUAUUAAGAAUAACUAACAUUUAUUAAUCAGUCAAUAUGUGUCAGAUGGUGUUCUAAGCCCUUUAUAUAUGCUAUUAUAUUUAAUUCUCCAGUUAGGAUCAAAUUAAAGUGCCAUUAUUGUCUUAGUCCACUUGUAGUGUUACUACCUUAGACUAGGUAGUUUGUAAAGAACCAAAAUUUAUUUCCUCACUGUUCUGGAGUUUGGAAAGUCCCAGACUGAGGGGUUGGCAACUUGUGAGCACCGUCUUGCUGUAUCUUGGAAGGGAAGAUAUAGGAUUAGAGAGAAAGAAGGCUGACCUGUGGUCCUUUUGUAAGGGACCCUCUUUACAAUAAUGAGCCCACUCCUCUGGUAAUGGGAUUAACCCAUUCAUGAAAGCACUGUGGCUAAGAAACUGCCCAAGGUCACAAUCAGUAUUUAUUUAUUCAUGUCAGUCUGAUUUCAGGAAUCAUGCUCUAGACCCAAGAACCUAAAUACCACUUACUGGACUUGCUCCUUGCCUCCACCCUCAGAACCUUGAUGAUGCUCUCCUGGGUUUUGGCUUCAUUCACAGACUUGUGAUUCCAAUGUCGAAAUUCCUAGCAGCUCCAGGUUUACAUCAUCUUUACCGCUAUACAUCUCAGCACAGCUAACAGCUCUGUCCUUUUCAACUGGCCCAGACUGUCCCAGAACUAUGUCCUUGGCCCAUCAUUUGUCAUACCCCAAUGACCGAGGCAACCACUAUGGCGGAUUGGUUGGAAUAUCUGGAAUGGCAAAGCCUGGGUCAUGUACUAAAUUUUGGCAUCUGGAAAGUUGGAUUGAGAGUGGGUAGAGGGGGAGCCCCAGUAGGAAUCAAGAUACAGAAGAGGAAGUAUGAUUAACAAAAGAAUAGCUCACAAGAGAAUGAGGGUAGAGCAGAUGAACCCACAGAUCUGUAUUCUUCACUUUGAGACCAAAUUCCAUAGUCUUGGUUUGGUGCCACAACACAUCACUGUAGCAAACAAAGAGCCUUGGUUAAGAAGGGGCAUUGCUAAAGUAUAGCCAGCCCCUCUGGACUGCUUUUCCCAUUAAUUGACUGGCAGAAUUGAGUCUAAUUCAAUUCGAUGAGAAAACUUUCACUUUGCCUUUAUUAUAUAGAGGCUCCAGUCUAGAAUUCCUGAGAAAGAAUCCUCAUGGAUCAUAGUUAUGUAUAGCAAGGGAUUAGCAUCUAACUGACAAUAUUGAAGAAUGAACAAAAGAAUACUAAAUAAACCCAAAAUGUGGCAAUAUAAGGACAUGAGAAAAUGUGAAACAAGGAAGUCCGGGAAGGAGAACACCUAAAAGUCAAACUUAGACAAUUGAAUUGACAAUAUUCUUUCUAUAAUGAGUAUUACAAUGAGUAUCUAACAGUGAGGAAUCAGCAAUCCAGAGCCACUUGGAGAGCUCAGGAGAGCUCAGUUCUACUCUUCCCAUGCUUGACACCAUUUUCCAUAAUGCAUAAUGUUUGUUCUCAUAGUUCCUGAUGCUGUUGGACCUUGGUAACCCUUUCCAUGCAGGAAGAAGGAGGAGCAGGUCUGUGGGAGGAGCCAGGGUCUUUUCUAGAUGUCUGCAGUCAAAGCAGCAUUUUCUUCGUGAUUUGAGGAGUGGGCACCUCAGACCAGUGGGAAGUGGAGAAUAACAAGGUGCUGUUAGUACUGGCUUCAUGGUCCGGGGUGGGCACAGCUCUGCUGGGGAGGAGCAUCGAGGCACAGAAAGACAUAGGAACGUUAGGGGAUAUUUGGGAAAUCACAUGUAGAUGGACAGCAGCUCUGUCAUCAGUUGAAUAAAGGGGUUGGGUGUAUUUUCUACCAAAUCAAGAAUUAAGAGGAUGCAAUUGUUAUGUCCACAAAAAUGUAUUUAUCAAACUUUUGGAAAGUAGUAUUGAGAUAGAGUUUCAUGGGGUUUAUGGUUAGACUUUAGAGAUAAUAUUUAUGAAAAAAAAACAGAAAAAAAGGAAAGAUGUGUGGAAAGGCUGGAAAAGGAAGGAAGGAAGGAAGGAAAAAAGAACACAGCAUAAAAAGAAAUAAGGGAAGAGAUAAGUAAAAGCCAGUAUGAUUUCUGCAUUUGUGAAGCACACUGUAAUUGGUAUAAAGAAAAAAAAGAGCUCAAGAAAAAUUAUGAAAUAUGUAGAAUACGUAAUUUAGAAGAAUAUUUUGGGGAUUAGAUACUAUAAUUAUUGCUCCCCAGAGCUUUUUGGAUACCUCAUUUUACUUUAAAUUUGUCUGCAAAAUUGGACCAUAGUUGGUUUUCUCAGUUUACAGAUUAAAGAAAGAAGAUACUUAAUGGAAUGGUGGGAAGUCUCCAUUUAUCUACCUUAUUUGCUCA
ensembl:lncRNA